rnacentral:misc_RNA from 1 species
GAUGAAGAACGCAGCGAAAUGCGAUAAGUAAUGUGAAUUGCAGAAUUCAGUGAAUCAUCGAAUCUUUGAACGCACAUUGCGCCCGCUAGUAUUCUGGCGGGCAUGCCUGUCCGAGCGUCAUUUCAACCCAUCAAGCUUAGCGCUUGUGUUGGAGCCCUGCGGCCGCCGCAGCCUCCUAAAAUCAGUGGCGGGCUCGCUAUCACGCUGAGUGCAGUAGUAUUCUUCUCACUCCUGUGGUGUAGCGGGUAACCAGCCGUAAACCCCCCCAUCUAUAAAGGUUGACCUCGGAUCAGGUAGGAAUACCCGCUGAACUUAAGCAUAUCAAUAAGCGGAGGA